GGAAUCUUGGACAAUGGGCGCAAGCCUGAUCCAGCCAUGCCGCGUGUGUGAUGAAGGCCCUAGGGUCGUAAAGCACUUUCGCCAGAGAUGAUAAUGACAGUAUCUGGUAAAGAAACCCCGGCUAACUCCGUGC
rnacentral:rRNA from 1 species